UACGUAGGGCGCAAGCGUUAUCCGGAAUUAUUGGGCGUAAAGAGCUCGUAGGCGGUUUGUCGCGUCUGCCGUGAAAGUCCGGGGCUUAACUCCGGAUCUGCGGUGGGUACGGGCAGACUAGAGUGCAGUAGGGGAGACUGGAAUUCCUGGUGUAGCGGUGAAAUGCGCAGAUAUCAGGAGGAACACCGAUGGCGAAGGCGGGUCUCUGGGCUGUAACUGACGCUGAGGAGCGAAAGCAUGGGGAGCGAACAGG
rnacentral:rRNA from 1 species